UGCAUCAGAUACGCCAGCAGGCGAUAUUCGUGCGACGUCAUCUUGAUGGGAUUGCCGUUGACGCUGACGCGGUUGGUGCGCGUAUCCAGCAUCACCGGCCCGCAGGUCAGUUCGGACUGGGCAUGGCCUGCCGUCCGGCGCAGCAGCGCGCGAAUGCGGGCGAGAACCUCUUCGAGAUGAAACGGCUUGGCGACAUAAUCGUCGGCGCCGGCAUCGAAGCCCUGCACCUUGUCGCUCCAGCGGUCCCGCGCG
rnacentral:misc_RNA from 1 species